rnacentral:rRNA from 1 species
UUGUUCGGAUUUACUGGGCGUAAAGGGCGCGUAGGCGGCCUUGUUUGUCAGGCGUGAAAGCCCUGGGCUCAACCUGGGAGGUGCGCUUGGGACGGCGAGGCUUGAGAUCGGGAGAGGAGAGUGGAAUUCCCAGUGUAGAGGUGAAAUUCGUAGAUAUUCGGAGGAACACCAGUGGCGAAGGCGGCCAACUGGUCCGGUACUGACGCUGAGGUGCGAAAGCGUGGGGAGCAAACAGG